AGAGCUUCCUUCAGCCCACUC
rnacentral:miRNA from 1 species